GGCCGCUCAUCAGGAAGCCACCCUAUAUGAAAACAAUGAGCGUUUUUAAUUGGAACUCUUAACUGUCUGAUUCAACGUGCAUGUCUGUCCUGCCUGAUCAGUGGAUUUUUCUGAUUUCUAUGCUGGGUGGCCUUCAUCUUAUGCAUAACUUGAUGUGUCAUACACAUGACGUGAAUGGGGUUUCAUCUGAAGUUCACAUGCAACUGGUUGUAGGUGAUCAUUCCUACUAGUAUUGAAUUGACUGUAAUGAUGGUUAUGUCUUUGAAUAAUCCCAAAAAAUUCAGCGCAAGAACUCGCUCAGAUGUUUGUCCAAGAGCUGGCUUUGAAGCGAAUAACAGCAAAAAAUGCUCUGAAUCAUGAGUGGUUUAGUGAGGUCUCUCUGCCCAAAUCAAAAGAUUUUAUACCGACAGUUCCUGUUCAACAUGCCCAAAACAGGGGAUGAAGAUAUGGCUUUGGAAGUUGGGUCAACACCUCUAAGUCUUCUCUAGG